rnacentral:tRNA from 1 species
GGGCGCAUAGCUCAGCAAGGUAGAGCGGCGGGCUCUUAACCCGUUGGUCAACUUGAAUCAAGUGUGCUUCAAGUCUGAAAGGGGGUUCAAGUCCCUCUGCGCCCG